ensembl:lncRNA
AAAUAAACGUGUUAUAAUAAAUACUUUAGAGAAGAGAGCAGAUUUUACUACACAAAAUGGUAUUUAUAGAAUAAAUCAACUAAAGUCGAGUGACAGUGGCCAGUAUCGACUCGAAGUUUUUGUAGAUGGGGGACAAAAAGAAGAACGGAUACUAAAAUUGUCUUUUCAAGGUCAGUUGUUUCUUUUUGGUUUGUCCAUAUAGAGUAAAGUUUACACUCAGAUUAUAUAUAAUCUGUAAACAAUCUCUUACACAGCUCCAGUAUCUUCUGUCCAGCUCGUCCCUACAUGUCUUUCUAUGGGGGAGAAGAAAGUUUCCUGCUCCUCUAAAGGGGACAGUCUUCUCUACAGCUGGACUCUGGAUGGACGCCCUCUGACAGACUCUGACCUCGUCCCAAAGGGCAGCAACACCAACAAUGUCCACCUGAAACUACAAACUGUAGGAAAACUGGUCUGUCAUGUCCAAAACAAAGUCAGCGAAAGCUCUGGUGAAGUGAAGUUAACCACUUGUGGUGAGUUAAAAAAAAGAUGAACGUAGAACAGGAAUAAUCAAAGCAUGCCUGAUAAAGUGCACGUCUUUGUUCCCAGGUUACAUCUUCAUAAACUGCACUUUGUCCAAUGGGACAGACAUAUUGCAGUGGGUGCUUGAGGCCACUAACACGUUGUGUGUUGACCCAACAACAGCCCCUAUGGGUGUGGAAAAUCACUGUGAUGGCAGACAGAAUAACGCUCAGUGUUAUGCAGCUUUGGAUGGAUCUAUAUUCAUCAGGCUGAUGGACAGCGCUGUAGAAAAUCAUACAUACAACUGGAAUAAAGAUAAAAGUAGAUUAUUGGUAGUGAAUAAUAAACGUGUUAUAACAAAUACUUUAGAGAAGAGAGCAGAUUUUACUACACAAAAUGGUAUUUAUAGAAUAAAUCAACUAAAGUCGAGUGACAGUGGCCAGUAUCGACUCGAAGUUUUUGUAGAUGGGGGAAAAAAAGAAGAAGAACGGAUACUAAAUUUGUCUGUUCAAGCUCCAGUAUCUUCUGUCCAGCUCGUCCCUACAUGUCUUUCUAUGGGGGAGAAGAAAGUUUCCUGCUCCUCUAAAGGGGACAGUCUUCUCUACAGCUGGACUCUGGAUGGACGUCCUCUGACAGACUCUGACCUCGUCCCAAAGGGCAGCAACACCAACAUUAUUCACCUGAAACUACAAACUGUAGGAAAACUGGUCUGUCAUGUCCAAAACAAUGUCAGCAAAAGCUCUGGUGAAGUGACGUUAACCACUUGUGGUUACAUCUUCAUAAACUGCACUUUGUCCAAUGGGACAGACAUAUUGCAGUGGGUGCUUGAGGCCACUAACACGUUGUGUGUUGACCCAACAACAGCCCCUAUGGGUGUGGAAAAUCACUGUGAUGGCAGACAGAAUAACGCUCAGUGUUAUGCAGCUUUGGAUGGAUCUAUAUUCAUCAGGCUGAUGGACAGCGCUGUAGAAAAUCAUAUAUACAUGUGGUUUAAAUAUACAAGUAAAUUAUUGGUAGUGAAUAAUAAACGUGUUAUAAUGAAUACUUUAGAGAAGAGAGCAGAUUUUACUACACAAAAUGGUAUUUAUAGAAUAAAUCAACUAAAGUCGAGUGACAGUGGCCAGUAUCGACUUGAAUAUUUUGUAGAUGGGGGAAAAAAAGAAGAACGGAAACUAAAUUUGUCUGUUCAAGCUCCAGUAUCUUCUGUCCAGCUCGUCCCUACAUGUCUUUCUAUGGGGGAGAAGAAAGUUUCCUGCUCCUCUAAAGGGGACAGUCUUCUCUACAGCUGGACUCUGGAUGGACGCCCUCUAACAGACUCUGACCUCGUCCCAAAGGGCAACAACACCAACAAUGUCCACCUGAAACUACAAACUAUAGGAAAACUGGUCUGUCAUGUCCAAAACAAAGUCAGCAAAAGCUCUGGUGAAGUGACGUUAACCACUUGUGGUUACAUCUUCAUAAACUGCACUUUGUCCAAUGGGACAGACAUAUUGCAGUGGGUGGUUGAGGACACUAACACGUUGUGUGUUGACCCAACAACAGCCCCUAUGGGUAAGGAGCCUCCCAUUGAUUCAGGGACUGUGGCUCUGAUUGGGAUUUCACUCUCUGCUCUGGUCUGUAUCCUCCUUUUGGCUUUAGUCGUGAUCUGUGUUCAGAAGAAAAAGCCAAACAAACCAAAAGAACCACAGGAUGACCAGGAAUUAACCUACGCGGCUGUCAAAGUGGUUCAGAGGCCAGGGACGCUAGAGGUGCACAGGUCAGAGGUGGAGGUGGAGUACGGCGAAGUCAAGUUUUCACAGCAACCUCGACAGAUUCAAGUACCGCCAGAUGACUGUGUGUAUGCCAGAGUCUAUAAAUGAAAACAGGGCGUGGCUCUUUUUAUCACAGACAGAGGGCACGACAUGAUCUCAGGUUGCUUGAAGGGCUUCCCUGUUUAAUGAUGAAAAAUCUGGGUGUCACCGUUGAGAGGACUCCAAACCCACAUCAAUAAUACUUUUUACCCCCUCUACCACUGCCAUUCUUGUACAUACUCUUGUCAAUCACUGAAACUCCUGAAACGCCAAUGUCCAGAAUUAGAGUUACCUGCUCCACUGAUGUUCUUUAAAAAUUUGCAUCAACUACAAAAUCCUCCUUCUGACAUUUAAGGUCAUCUUAAGGUCAUCUUCAAUGUCACCCCUCUAUAUCAGUCCAGACUGACCCACACCAUCAGCUCACUAAUGUUAUUCAAAAUGAAGCUAAAAACCCAUCUGUUCAGGAUGGCCUUUCUCUCUGGGAUCACAACUGCUGUAUCUAAUCUUGAUAUGUUGAAUGUAAUGUUCUUGCACUGCCUUUUCACAAUAAUUUUAUUGUAAACAUUCCAUGUAUAGUGACCCUAAGUGCUAGAAAGAAGCCUUUUAUGAAAAUAAUGACAAUAAUAAUGUAAUGAAAAGGAUGUGAAUAUUGUUUUUGUUUGUAUUCCUUAAUAAUUGUUUUUGGUUUAAUUUAAACCACACCCAUGGGAGGGGCUAACCUGUUAAAAGCAGUGUAGGAAACUGCAUAGAGGGCAGUCUUUCUCUGGAGGUGCAUGUGGGAGCAAUGUACCUGAGCAUUUCUGAAAGCCUCUCAGCUGAAAGUAGAGCUGGGACCAGGUUGUGUUUUUUUUUUUUUUCUCUUGAUGUAAAUAUUUGUGUUCCACUGUAAAUAUUGAGCACCGGCACCAUUUUUGGAAAAAUAAAUGAAAGUCGACUUGCCA